UCUCCCGUUUGCACUGUGCGGAGUGGUGUUUUCUUAACUCUCCUUGGCAGGGAAUUGCAUGAGUGCUGUCCCAGAGCCUCAUUCCUGCAGGAGGGACUGGUCCAGAGCCAGGCUUGGAGGAAGGAACCCAGCCCAGCCUCACCCAGGAUCUUCAGGGAACAUGGCAUCCUGCUGCCUAAAGAGCUGCCUCUGUAUUGAGUGUCCUAAAGUGGAGCAUGUCCAGGGAUGUGGAAAUCCGGAAUGUUCCCCCUUAAUGUCUUACUGGCUUUAAUCUGGGGAUUUCCCUCAUCUGUCAAGAAGAGGAGAUGAUCUGAACACAAGCAUACAUAUUCUUUAAAGUACAGAACAGUUGUUCCCGCUCCCUGACCCCUGUUCCUCCUUUCUUCACUCCCCCUCACUCCCACUUGUCUUCUCUGCCCCUGCUCUACACUUCUGUGAGAGAGAGAAGGUCAGCAAGUGG